CCUACGGGAGGCAGCAGUGGGGAAUAUUGGACAAUGGGGGGAACCCUGAUCCAGCGACGCCGCGUGAGUGAAGAAGUAUUUCGGUAUGUAAAGCUCUAUCAGCAGGGAAGAAAGAAAUGACGGUACCUGACUAAGAAGCCCCGGCUAACUACGUGCCAGCAGCCGCGGUAAUACGUAGGGGGCAAGCGUUAUCCGGAUUUACUGGGUGUAAAGGGAGCGUAGACGGCGAUGCAAGUCUGAAGUGAAAGGCGGGGGCCCAACCCCUGGACUGCUUUGGAAACUGUAUGGCUGGAGUGCAGGAGAGGGAAGUGGAAUUCCUAGUGUAGCGGUGAAAUGCGUAGAGAUUAGGAGGAACACCAGUGGCGAAGGCGGCUUACUGGACUGUAACUGACGUUGAGGCUCGAAAGCGUGGGGAGCAAACAGGAUUAGAUACCCGUGUAGUC
rnacentral:rRNA from 1 species